UUUUAUAAAUAUUGUUAAUAUUUUUAAAUAAAUAAAAGCAUAAGAGAAGGUACAUACAAAGUAGCUACCGAUAAAAUUCCCAAUUUAUUAGUAAAAUAUUAAUUUCACACCUUUUGUAUGGCAAAUAAUGGCGCAGGUGACAACCAUAUGCGCAGCCAGUCAAUCUUGUUUGCGUCGCACGUUUUUCUAUCCAUCCUUAUCAAUGACUGUGUAAACUGUUGGAUUGCGCCGAAAUGACGCAAUGAACGAUAGCGAGUGACCGCACAGUUACCACGCUCGGAAAAGGCUUUUCUAAUGUUUUGUCCACUCACCGCGAGAUGGCGGCCCCGGAAGACAGUUUUAACAUAUAAACCGGCGCAUGCGCCGCGGCGUGCAUAGCCUGCCACGGCGUUCGCGCGAUCACACGCUGUGUCGAUAGAAAGCCUUCGCGUUCGGUACACGAACUUACGAAAACUUGUGUCUGUGCAAUGGAUAUUGUUAGUUUGGACCCGACUGGACUUUAUUAAGAAACACCAAAGAUGGACGUCCUAACACUGGACCCAACCGGUCAGUAUUGAUGAUGUCUCACAAGAGCUUGGACCCGACCGGCGUUUACUAAAAAUCACAAGCGUUUAUUGAUCUUUCUUAUUAGAAUCUUACAAGAAAAAAUGGAGGUCAAGGUACUGGAUCCUACCGGUCAGUACUAGGGACGCAGGAUGACAGGGCUAGAUCCCACUGAAGUCUACUAAACUUUCCACCUUCUAUGAGCCAAGAUGUGUUGCGGGAACCGUCGUAUCUCCACAGGAACCUGGCCAGAAGAAACAUCUUCUUGCAGGAAGAGAAGGUUCACCUUCAAACUUAACCUGGAUUGUUAACAAAAAUAAAGCGAUUGUACAUAGUGAAUGAAGAAAAUGUCUGGAGGCGUUGGCAAGGUCAGAUGGAAAUCAGCUGAUUUGCGCGCGCGUUUCGGAAAAUUUCAAGAAUAUUGGAAAAAAAGUUCAGAAAAAUCCUACAUGGAACGCGUUGCGCGGCAGAAAAUCCUUGUGCAAAUGAUGUAAUUGCAAUUCUUUGGCUCCGCACACCGAGCUUUUCAAGUUUCAACGUCUUAACUUCGUGAACCCCAUUUUUACGUCCAAUACUCACUAGAUAAUAAGUAAUUAUUUGACUGAAUAAAUAUUUUGUCUCGAGAACUUACAUAUCUCUAAUGCAUUUGUAUUUUAAUUGUAUUUAAAAAGAGUUAAAUAAUUUAAUUAUUAAGUUGAUGCGGCUUUGUUGGCAAUAUUAAAAAUAGAUUGUUCGUAGUUUUAAGAAAUUAAUACAUUUUUUAUCAAUUAAAAAUAAGAUUAUAGAUUAGCUAAAUUAAUAACUAUAAAAUAGAUUACGCAAUCUUAUUUGUGCCAAUAAAGUGGCAUCGAAAAUAGAUGUAAGAAAAAUUUAAAGACAAGCAUAAAGAGGCAAAUGGGUUUUUUGAAUGGUUAUCUUCUUUCGACUGUACAUUUGAUGAGGAACCUUCAAAAUUUACCGUAUUUAUAAAGGAUUUUAUUAUCUUAUAUUAUUGUAUAGGUUUAAAGUGUAUUUUUGUGUUUAUUUCCUUUUGUUUUUAGUUUUCCGCAUAAUUCGAGUUACCAAUUUGACUUUGCUUGGAGAAAAUGUAAAUAAAAUAAUCAUCUUUCGCUACUGCUA